rnacentral:rRNA from 1 species
AACGAACGCUGGCGGCAGGCUUAACACAUGCAAGUCGAGGGGUAGCAAGAUUGUAGCAAUACAAUUGUUGACGACCGGCAAACGGGUGCGGAACACGUACACAACCUUCCUACAAGUGGGGAAUAGCCCAGAGAAAUUUGGAUUAAUACCCCGUAACAUAGCGAUGUGGCAUCACAUUGCUAUUAUAGCUUCGGCGCUUGUUGAUGGGUGUGCGGCUGAUUAGAUAGUUGGCGGGGUAACGGCCCACCAAGUCUACGAUCAGUAGCUGAUGUGAGAGCAUGAUCAGCCACACGGGCACUGAGACACGGGCCCGACUCCUACGGGAGGCAGCAGUAAGGAAUAUUGGACAAUGGACGCAAGUCUGAUCCAGCCAUGCCGCGUGAAGGAUUAAGGUCCUCUGGAUUGUAAACUUCUUUUAUAAGGGACGAAAAAAGGUCUUUCUAGAUCGUCUGACGGUACCUUAUGAAUAAGCACCGGCUAACUCCGUGCCAGCCGCCGCGGUAACAC